UAAGUAGUGAACCUGCAUUACUUAAAUGAAUCAUUUUGUUAGUACAGUUUCAGCUCUGCUCCAGUGUUUUGUGCUUUCUUUUUGAAAUUUGCAUCAAAUAACGGGAGAAUAUAGUAAAGACGUAAAACUCAUGAAAAAGGCAAAAAAAAUUCGUAUCUCUAAGGAAAAUAGCAUUCAAGUAAGACCCAAGAUUACGCGUUAUAGAAGAGAGAGGUUAAGUGAAGCGGACAUCGCAUGUAAUCAUUUGGAAGGCAAGAGAAAAGGUGUUGUUUGUAAUGCAGGAGAACGAACAAGAAAUGAGAUACUAGGUUUUAGGGAAAUGAUAUAUGCAAAUGACGUGAAAAAAAUUGAUCAAGAUAAAAUACUGCUUAAAUUCAUGCAAGUUGAUGUUCCUAAGCGAAAAACUACAGAUGAAACAGUUAUGAGUCAGAUUGAUAAGGGUAAUUCUGAAGCAAUAAAAACACACAUAAGCAGCUACAAAUGCAGAGAAAAUCACUAUUCACGUGAAAAAUUCAGAAGAAACGACUUACCUCCUGAGUUAAACAUACAGAAAAUAUACAAAAUAUUUUGUGAUACAACAAACUUUAAAUGUUCUUUGGCUAAAUACAAGAAGAUUUUUCAUCAACAUUUU
rnacentral:lncRNA from 1 species